rnacentral:rRNA from 1 species
UACGUAGGGGGCGAGCGUUGUCCGGAAUUAUUGGGCGUAAAGAGCGUGUAGGCUGUUCGGUAAGUCUGCCGUGAAAACCUGAGGCUCAACCUCGGGCGUGCGGUGGAUACUGCCGGGCUAGAGGACGGUAGAGGCGAGUGGAAUUCCCGGUGUAGCGGUGAAAUGCGCAGAUAUCGAGAGGAACACCUGCGGCGAAGGCGGGUUGCUGGGCUGACACUGACGCUGAGGCGCGAAAGCUAGGGGAGCGAACGGG